ACACAGAGUGGCGCCUCGGAAGCGCUCUGUGUUUUGGGAGCUUCCUGAGGGCCCCCGCCCGCCAUUUUCUCUCCCUCAGGAACCUCUAUUGGCGGACCCUGCGGUUUUCUCAUGCCAUCACACCUUAUUGUUUCGAGCCGGUUACUUUGGUUACGUCAGGGAAAAAUAACACAAAUUAACUUUUCGCUUACGUGGCCGUGCAGGGCAAAAGCUUUCGGGGUUUUGCCUGCCAGUCCCAAGUGAAGGCGCAGAGGUGGGCUCGCUGCUGGAGAAGGUCCCCCGUAGCUCUGCGUGCUGCAGGACACAAAUCAUCCUCAGCUCUAACAACACCACAGUGUAUUAUCGUCAGUCCAACAUCUGAGGUGCAGCAUUGCAUGACCUGGAAAUACCAUUUAAAUAGGAUCUCAUCAAGUCUGAAGGAGCCAUGCCCAGAGCCAGGGACUAGAGAGAGCAGCCUGCAAAAGGAAGCUGGGUUGUGACAUGGAGACAGAAGAUGAAAAUUCCUACACAUGGGGGGAGAACUACAUAGUGGAAGGUUACUCUCAGCUCCUAUUUCUGACUCUUGUACUGACCACAGAUUUUCACUGACUUUACAAGAACUGUGGUGCUAGUAACUAAAAGUGUUAUUGCCAUCUGUUUUACUAAAGUAAUAAUCUCUAUUAUUUAGGCUUUUCCACCAAAACAACUUUAAUGUUUAUCAAGGAUCAGUACUUAAAUAAAAUAGUAUUAAGAAAAGCUAUUAAUUUCUGAAAACAGACUUUUCUAGUCACAGUCAUAGGAGAUCUUACGAACAAAGAAGCUUGACUAUGAGCUAGAAAAGAAGUGUAAAUUGGAAAUAUCCAAGGCCAGAUUGGACAGAGCUUGGAGCAACCUGGUUUAGUGGAAGCUGUCCCUGCCUAUGGCAGCGUUUGGAACAAGAUGAGUUUUAAGGUGCUUCCAACCAGUCUGAUAUUCUGUACCACAGAAGCUUUUCAAUCAACAAUGGCCAUCUUUUGCAGACUCCUCUUUAAAUGUUACAGUAGAAAUGUGAACCUUGUUGGAGUUGUCAGUGUCCUGAUUAGAAGCAGAAGAUGGCAUUAGGAAUAGCUAAAAUGGCUACUUGGAAUGCAGAGGUCUAUGUAAAUAUACCCUCCAACUGCAGCUGCUGUGGAAAAAGAAGAAAUUAUAAGGAAGCAGGUGAAAGAAGCAGCAUUUACAGAAGAAGCAAAAGGAAAAUCACUGAAGGAAAUCAGUAAGUUGAAUGAAGAAGAAUGAAUGAGUAAUACUGGAAUUGGCUCUUAUUACCAGACAGAAAGAGAGAGUAUUUGUGGUUGGGAAGCACAUAGGCAUGUAUGCACUUAUUUGCAUAAUUAAUAGACAAGAUGAAAGUGUUUCUACCCUACAUUGGAAACAAGGGGAGAUGAUGUCAAGCUUUGGUAAAACGAAGAUCAUCCUGGAGCUUUGAAUGACUACCCAUUACAUUUCUGAGUAUUAAAAUUAUGCUGGAAAAACAAGAAUUUAGAUGUAAAGUUGGACCCUUCAGAAGCAUCCUAUUACUAUUUUACUAGAGCACUUGCAGGAUCUCUCUUCACUACAGACACCUACUGGAUUAACUAUGCAGCAGCACAGUGUAUUUGAGAUUUAGCUGUCAUCACCUCUGCCUCAUGUUGGGCAACAGGUUCUCAAGUCAUACAGUGAUAUGCAUAAAAAAUGAUGCAUAAGUGUCAUUGCUUAGAAAUUCACUGGAAAUCCUCGAACUGAAGGAAAUAAACCCUAUGGAAUUUUUAAGCAUAGGAUUCAGGAAGACACUUGAAAACAUGUCUGCAGUAAAACAAAUUGUACCAAACGUCUUUAGAUGGGAACAUUUAACAGAAGAAAAUGCGUGAGAAAGGAAAGAGGCAAAGACUGGUUGAGAUUUUUCAAGCUCCAGUGUCAUGACAGUUUUGAAGAUACAGAUCAACAACCUUAAAUGUCAAAAAAUUGCCCUAACCAACCUAUUUGUUAUGGGAUUUCAGCCUACAAAUGAACAUAGAGUAUUUCUACAUCACCACUUUUGUAAUGGAGUCUUCUGGGAAUACCCUCAAUGCCAGCAUAAAAUUUAGCUUAGAUAAAAUAAAACAGAGAGAGGAAAUAAAAAAGUACACAUGAACCCAGUGGCAUGAUGGCUGGGAGAACUUGAUCUGUCACAGUGCAAAUAUUCAAUACUAAUGCACAUCUUGCUUUGUGCUCCUGGGUGCCUCAGAAGGAUUCAGACUGGUUUUGACAAAUGCAGUAACUUCAGCACUAGCAUAAAGAGCUCCCUGUUCUCUCACUUACCUGUUACCAGUUUUGUCCUGUAAAGACUCACUGAACAGACACAUCCCACAGUACAGCAGAGACCAGCCCAGAUAAUAUGCACAGAAAACUGCUGUGGAAGGAGCUACACUGGCUCACAGAAGUUCACUGCAUCCUGCUCUCGUAAGCACCAAAUCAAAGGAUCAGAGAUCUUCCUCAAGAAAACACUCCUAAGUCCUCAAAACAUUGCUUGUCGAGUUGGAUCUCUAACCCAGGCUAACUUCCUUCAGAGUGAAAGUCACCAAAGCUAAACUAGUGUUAAACAGAUUCCUCCAAAAUAUCCAAAGCAGUUUCUUUCUAUUGACUUUAAAUAAUCAUUUCUCUGUACCUGUGUCUAGUUGUUCAGUCACAAUAGCUCAGUCCAGGCAAAACUGAACUGAUACGAAACACAAGCAUAAAUAUGUCCACAAGGAAUGUUUUAAUUUUGCACCUGACUGACAGAUAACACUAAAAAAAUGAAAAAAAUACUAAUUCUAAACUUUUUGCAAAUUACUUUUGCAACAUCUAUUCCACACCAUCAAGUGGCAUAACCAGGCAGUACUAUUGUAAGAGUCAACAUUUCUAGAAACUGCUUUCCAUGCUGAAAGAGUCACUCCAGCACCCUCUCUUUAAAGGCAGCAGGUGAAGGAAAGAAACAAUUAGAAAGGAGGUUUCAGAUUAAGAACACAUUAAAAUAUGAGUGUUUCAAAGAAAACAAUAAAAUAAAGAAGACUUUUUACUGUUAGCCUUUAAUUUUGUGGGGCUUGUUAUCCAAUCUAACAUUAUCCAAAUUUUGUGAUGUACAUUCUGCAAUCUCAUCUUAAAGCUCAAGAAAGCUCCUCUUAGCUAUUGCCUUUAAACAGUGUCAAGCUUCAAAAAAGGGAAGGGGGUGGAAAAGACAAAGUGGAACAAGCAGACAAAUGCUUUAAAACUUUUCAGCAUUUACAAGAACAGCAAUUCUAGGACAACCCCAGCUACUCACAAACAAGAUGAAAUCCCCUGAGUGAGAGAAAAUUUAUCUUCACUUUAAAAUAAAAAAACAUCCUCCAAAAAAAAAAAAAUCCCUCUCUAGAUUCCAAUCAGAGUAAUUUCCUCCCACCAUGUAACUACCUUUUGAAAGUUAUAUCAAGGAUUUGAGUUCUUUGAGUUCUCUGAGUUCUUUGCUUCAUGGCUGUUCUUAAGCUACAGCCCAUGGCUACUAACGGUACGUUUGGUUAGAAAUCACAACCCAAACCAGGGUCUACGAGAGCUGGAAAGACAAUUAGCAAACUGCUGCUAUCACAAAAACAGUGGGCAGUGCUUGGCAGGACUCAAGAGCUGCAGCAGGGGAAGAAUGAAGAAAAUCAGCAUUAAAAAAGCUGAUUCAUAACAGCAUGAAACAGGAAGGUGAUUAAAAAAGGAACAAAACAGACGUGCAGGUACAGAGUGCCCAGGAUAGCCAUUUGCAUUGUUUUCCAUAUUUCUAUACUUUUACACAGAAAUAUGUGCAGAUUUUUUAAUAUCCUGAGGUUUACAUUCAAAACACUUCUGCAUUUGUGGUGGGAAAUAAAACAAGAAAAAACCCAACCAAAAAAAAAA